rnacentral:rRNA from 1 species
AAUGAACGCUGGCGGCAUGCCUAACACAUGCAAGUCGAACGAGACCAUCGGGUCUAGUGGCGCAUGGGUGCGUAACGCGUGGGAACAUGCCCUUAGGUUUGGAAUAACUCCCCGAAUGGGGUGCUAAUACCGGAUCAUGUCUUCGGACCAAAGAUUUAUCGAGCUUGGAUGGGCGCGCGUUGGAUUAGCUGGUUGGUAGGGUAAAAGCCUACCAGGGCGAGGAUCCAUAGAUGGUUAGAGAGGAAGGUCAGCCACACUGGGAGUAGGACACGGCCCAGACUCUUACGGGAGGGAGCAGAGGGUAAUAUUGGAAAGUGGGGGGAGUGAUGAAGCAGCAAGGACGGGAAAGUGAUGAAGGCAGUGGGGAUGUAAAGCUCUUUUAACCGGGAUGGUAAUGACGGUACCGGGAGAAUAAGCUCCGGCUAACUCCGUG